rnacentral:misc_RNA from 1 species
GCGACGUCGCCGUGGUUGUACAGCCUGAGCAGUACGGGCAAGUGCGCGAUGAGUUGAAGGGAAACGAUGGCGCGCUAUCAAUCUUGACCAGAAAUCGUCUUGCGGCUGAAGCUUUUGAGCACACCGCGAGCUACGAUUCGAUGGUGAGUGCGUAUCUCGCGGGCGAGAGUCCCAGAAUAAGUUUAACUAUGGACAGGGUUGCAAACCUGAGAUACGGCGAAAACCCACAUCAAACGGCGACACUUUACCGGACGAUCAAAGGCGGGAUCGCAAACGCCGCGAUCCUGUCCGGAAAGGAGAUGUCUUUCAAUAACUACGUCGACGCUGAUGCUGCCUGGGCACUGGUAAAUGACUUUGACCAGACCGCGUGUGCGAUCAUUAAACAUACAAACCCCGCGGG